rnacentral:misc_RNA from 1 species
GAAAGUAAAAGUCGUAACAAGGUUUCCGUAGGUGAACCUGCGGAAGGAUCAUUCAUAAUAAGUGUUUUAUGGCACUUUUUUAAAUCCAUAUCCACCUUGUGUGCAAUGUCAGGGUUGAUUUUUCUCUCGAGAGGAUCAACCCCAAACAUCAACUAUAUCUCAACUCUUUGUCUGAAAAAUAUUAUGAAUAAAACAAUUCAAAAUACAACUUUCAACAACGGAUCUCUUGGCUCUC